rnacentral:rRNA from 1 species
UACGUAGGGGCCUAGCGUUGUCCGGAUUUAUUGGGCGUAAAGAGCUCGUAGGCGGUUCGGUAAGUCCGCUGUGAAAGUCGGGGGCUCAACCCUCGGAUGCCGGUGGAUACUGUCGGGCUUGAGUACGGAAGAGGCGAGUGGAAUUCCUGGUGUAGCGGUGAAAUGCGCAGAUAUCAGGAGGAACACCAAUUGCGAAGGCAGCUCGCUGGGACGUUACUGACGCUGAGACGCGAAAGCGUGGGGAGCAAACAGG